UAGGGAAUCUUCGGCAAUGGACGGAAGUCUGACCGAGCAACGCCGCGUGAGUGAAGAAGGUUUUCGGAUCGUAAAGCUCUGUUGUAAGAGAAGAACGAGUGUGAGAGUGAAAAGUUCACACUGUGACGGUAUCUUACCAGAAAGGGACGGCUAACUACGUGCCAGCAGCCGCGGUAAUACGUAGGUCCCGAGCGUUGUCCGGAUUUAUUGGGCGUAAAGCGAGCGCAGGCGGUUAGAUAAGUCUGAAGUUAAAGGCUGUGGCUUAACCAUAGUAGGCUUUGGAAACUGUUUAACUUGAGUGCAAGAGGGGAGAGUGGAAUUCCAUGUGUAGCGGUGAAAUGCGUAGAUAUAUGGAGGAACACCGGUGGCGAAAGCGGCUCUCUGGCUUGUAACUGACGCUGAGGCUCGAAAGCGUGGGGAGCAAACAGGAUUAGAUACCCUGGUAGUCCACGCUGUAAACGAUGAGUGCUAGGUGUUAGACCCUUUCCGGGGUUUAGUGCCGUAGCUAACGCAUUAAGCACUCCGCCUGGGGAGUACGACCGCAAGGUUG
rnacentral:rRNA from 1 species